rnacentral:rRNA from 1 species
CCUACGGGUGGCUGCAGUCGAGAAUCAUUCACAAUGGGGGAAACCCUGAUGGUGCGACGCCGCGUGGGGGAAUGAAGGUCUUCGGAUUGUAAACCCCUGUCAUGUGGGAGCAAAUUAAAAAGAUAGUACCACAAGAGGAAGAGACGGCUAACUCUGUGCCAGCAGCCGCGGUAAUACAGAGGUCUCAAGCGUUGUUCGGGAUCACUGGGCGUAAAGCGUGCGUAGGCUGUUUCGUAAGUCGUGUGUGAAAGGCGCGGGCUCAACCCGCGGACGGCACAUGAUACUGCGAGACUAGAGUAAGGGAGAGGGAACCGGAAUGCUCGGUGUAGCAGUGAAAUGCGUAGAUAUCGAGAGGAACACUCGGGGCGAAGGCGGGUUCCUGGACAUUAACUGACGCUGAGGCACGAAGGCCAGGGGAGCGAAAGGGAUUAGAUACCCUUGUAGUC